rnacentral:tRNA from 1 species
GGCAGCGUGGCCGAGCGGUUAAGGCGAAUGCUUUAGGCGCAUUUCCGAAAGGGCGUGGGUUCGAAUCCCACCGCUGUCA